rnacentral:tRNA from 1 species
UGGCUUAGUGGUAGAGCACUUGCCUUGCAUGCAAAAGGCCCUGGGUUCAAUCCCAG